rnacentral:rRNA from 1 species
GUGCCAGCAGCCGCGGUAAGACGGAGGGUGCUAGCGUUGUUCGGAAUCACUGGGCGUAAAGGGCGCGUAGGCGGCCAGGCAAGUCGGCUUGUGAAAGCCCGGGGCUCAACCCCGGAGGUGCGGCCGGGACUGCUUGGCUGGAGGCCGGAAGAGGAGGGUGGAAUACCCAGUGUAGAGGUGAAAUUCGUAGAUAUUGGGUGGAACACCGGUGGCGAAAGCGGCUCUCUGGUCCGGUUCUGACGCUGAGGCGCGAAAGCGUGGGGAGCAAACAGGAUUAGAAACCCUAGUAGUCC